AGGACGAACGCUGGCGGCGUGCUUAACACAUGCAAGUCGAGCGGAAAGGCCCUUCGGGGUACUCGAGCGGCGAACGGGUGAGUAACACGUGAGCAACCUGCCCUUAGCUCUGGGAUAGCUCCGGGAAACCGGAAUUAAUACCGGAUACGACCUAGGCCGACAUCGGCCAUGGUGGAAAGUUUUUCGGCUAGGGAUGGACUCGCGGCCUAUCAGCUAGUUGGUGGGGUAAAGGCCUACCAAGGCGACGACGGGUAGCCGGCCUGAGAGGGCGACCGGCCACACUGGGACUGAGACACGGCCCAGACUCCUACGGGAGGCAGCAGUGGGGAAUCUUGCGCAAUGGGCGAAAGCCUGACGCAGCGACGCCGCGUGGGGGAUGAAGGCCUUCGGGUUGUAAACCCCUUUCAGCAGGGACGAAGCGAAGUGACGGUACCUGCAGAAGAAGCGCCGGCUAACUACGCGCCAGCAGCGC
rnacentral:rRNA from 1 species